rnacentral:rRNA from 1 species
UCAAGAGUACGUGAAACCGUUCAGGGGUAAACCUGAGAAACCCAAAAGAUCGAAUGGGGAGAUUCACCGUCAGCGGCGUUGGCUUCCGUGCGGCUCGCGAUGGUCGGGACUUCGGUCUCGCGCCACGCGGUCGCCGCGGCAUGUCCGGCGUCGUCGGCGUGCACUUCUCCCCUAGUAGGACGUCGCGACCCGUUGGGUGUCGGAUCAAUGGCCGGUCGGUCGUCUGUUGCGUCGUUUUCAACGGCGACGCGGCAGACCGAUCGGUUCAACGUCCGACUGCCCGGCGGUAUAGAACGCUUAAUCACGGUACUGGGCCGCAACUCGAAUGCGUUCAGGCUCGACGGCAGGCUCGUCUCGCUCGGAUUUACGGACCUAGCGCCGUUGCCGGGCGCUUGGCGUGGCCGUUAGUCGUCGAUGUCCUCGGACUGGCUCUUACCGGUCUGCGACGCUACUGCUUUGGGUACUUUCAGGACCCGUCUUGA